rnacentral:rRNA from 1 species
UACGUAGGCAGCGAGCGUUGUUCGGAGUUACUGGGCGUAAAGCGUGCGUAGGCGGCGGUCCAAGUCUGUUGUGAAAUCUCCCGGCUUAACUGGGAGGGUGCGCCGGAAACUGGGCUGCUGGAGUGCGGGAGAGGCAAGCGGAAUUCCAGGUGUAGCGGUGAAAUGCGUAGAUAUCUGGAGGAACACCCGUGGUGCAGACGGCUUGCUGGACCGUGACUGACGCUGAGGCACGAAAGCGUGGGUAGCAAACAGG